AUUGAACGCUGGCGGCAUGCUUUACACAUGCAAGUCGAACGGCAGCGCGGGGCAACCUGGCGGCGAGUGGCGCACGGGUGAGUAAUAUAUCGGAACGUACCCAGAAGUGGGGGAUAACGUAGCGAAAGUUACGCUAAUACCGCAUACGAUCUACGGAUGAAAGUAGGGGACCGCAAGGCCUUAUGCUUUUGGAGCGGCCGAUAUCUGAUUAGCUAGUUGGUGAGGUAAAGGCUCACCAAGGCGACGAUCAGUAGCUGGUCUGAGAGGACGACUAGCCACACGGGAACUGAGACACGGUCCAGACUCCUACGGGAGGAAGCAGUGGGGAAUUUUGGACAAUGGGGGCAAGCCUGAUCCAGCAAUGCCGCGUGAGUGAAGAAGGCCUUCGGGUUGUAAAGCUCUUUUGUCAGGGAAGAAACGGUAGAGGCUAAUAUCCUUUGCUAAUGACGGUACCUGAAGAAUAAGCACCGGCUAACUACGUG
rnacentral:rRNA from 1 species